CCCCUAGAUGUUCUGGGCCGCACGCGCGCUACACUGAACAGUUCAACAAGUCUUAACCUUGGCCGAUAGGUCUUGGUAAUCUUUGAACGCUGUUCGUGAUUGGGAUAGACCUUUGCAAUUAUGGGUCUUCAACGAGGAAUUCCUAGUAAACGCAAGUCAUCAGCUUGCAUUGAUUACGUCCCUGCCCUUUGUACACACCGCCCGUCGCACCUACCGAUUGAAUGGUCCGGUGAAAUCUCGGGACGGCGGCUUGGUCGCUUGCGUCCGACUGCUGAAACUUGAUUAAACCAUAUCAUUUAGAGGAAGGUGAANUCGUANCA
rnacentral:rRNA from 1 species